CGGCAACAGCUCAAAUUUGAAAUCUGGCCUCUUCGGGGUCCGAGUUGUAAUUUGGAGAGGAUGUUUCGGGCACGGUCCGGGCUUAAAUUUCUUGGAACAGAAUGUCACAGAGGGUGAGAAUCCCGUCUGGAGCUCGGACACGACCCAUGUGAAACUCCUUCGACGAGUCGAGUUGUUUGGGAAUGCAGCUCUAAAUGGGUGGUAAAUUUCAUCUAAAGCUAAAUAUUGGCCAGAGACCGAUAGCGCACAAGUAGAGUGAUCGAAAGAUGAAAAGCACUUUGAAAAGAGAGUUAAACAGUACGUGAAAUUGUUGAAAGGGAAGCGCUGGCAACCAGACUUGCGCGUCGGGGUUCCCCCUUGCUUCUGCCUGGGUUACUCCCCGGCGUUCAGGCCAACAUCGGUUUCGGGGGUUGGUUAAAGGCCCUGGGAAUGUACCUACCCUCCGGGGUAAACUUAUAGCCCAGGGUGUCAUGCGACCUCCCGGGACCGAGGAACGCGCUUCGGCUCGGAUGUUGGCGUAAUGGUUGUCAGCGACCCGUCUUGAAACACGGACCAAGGAGUCUAACAUCUAUGCGAGUGUUAGGGUGUCAAACCCUUACGCGGAAUGAAAGUGAACGGAGGUAGGAAGCCUUAAGGCUGCACUAUCGACCGAUCCUGAAGUUUACGGAUGGAUUUGAGUAAGAGCAUAGCUGUUGGGACCCGAAAGAUGGUGAACUAAGCCUGAAUAGGGUGAAGCCAGAGGAAACUCUGGUGGAGGCUCGCA
rnacentral:rRNA from 1 species